CCGAGUUCUCGCCCCUCGCGGGGUAGACCUCCCACCCAUUGUUAUCACUACCGUCGUUGCUUUGGCGGGCCGCCCGGCCGCGCCCGGCCGCUGGCUCUCGCUAGCGCGCGCCCGCCAGAGGCUCCGCAAACGCUAGAUGUUUUGGUGCUGUCUGAGUUUACACAUAAUAGUUA
rnacentral:misc_RNA from 1 species